rnacentral:rRNA from 1 species
UACAGAGGGUGCAAGCGUUAAUCGGAAUUACUGGGCGUAAAGCGUGCGCAGUCGGUUAUCUAAGUCGGGUGUGAAAUCCCCGGGCUCAACCUGGGAACUGCAUCCGAAACUGCCUUGCUAGAGUAUGGGAGAGGGAAGUGGAAUUUCCGGUGUAGCGGUGAAAUGCGUAGAUAUCGGAAGAAACAUCAGUGGCGAAGGCGACUCCUGGACCAAUACUGACGCUCAGGUGCGAAAGCGUGGGGAGCAAACAGG